UUGGUGUUAGGUGCUAGGCACUAGGCUAGUUGUUCUAUAUAUUAUCUAAUUAAAUGGUCCCAACAAUUCUAUGAGAUAAGUACUCCUAUUAUUUCAAUUUUACAGAUGAAUUCUCUGAGGUCAAAAAUGGUUCUGAGACUUGCUCAAGAUUACAUAGCUAGGAAAGAGAAGGCCAGAAUUGUACCCUGGUUUGUGAGCUUCCAGCCUAUAUCCAGUCAUUACCCUUCACUGCCUCUCAACUUCUGACCUACUUCUAAACGGAGGACAGUUAACAUGACUAACUGGCUUUCUGUUGGGCAUAAAAAAUGCUGCACUCUGCUGCUAUGUCAUGGCUUAUGUCCCUAAUGGGCUUUGGUGUUCCAAACAGGAACUCAAGCUGUCUUUUGUUACUGUCAACUUAGUCCUAACAACUAAUCGUCUAUUUUCUUUAAUCACCUUUUGAUGAGCUAGGAAUCCCUAAAGAAAGCAGUUAUACCCACAAAGUAUCAGAGGGGGAACUUAGGGGAAUUGCUGGGCAUAUGCUGAGUCAGGGUAUAAAAAAAUCUUUGGUAAUAAUAAAGUCCUUUGCAACAUAAGGGAUUACAAUUAUUAAUAAUAAUUAUUAUAAACAACUAUGACAACAAUGUCAGUUGUACCUCUUAGCAAUUUCUUCUUUACCUUUGCUGCAGGUGGUAACACACCCCAAAAUGAAACUUCCAAUCUGGAAGGGUCCCACUAUGAGACUACUCUAUGGUUUAUCUCAGCUUCCUAUGCAAUUGCUAGGCCAGUCUGUCUCACUGGACCACAAGAAAGAAGUGGCACUGGGGUGAGGGCUUCCAGGAAACAGUGACAGAUGCUCCUCUUUUCAUUACUGAACUGUGACAGAUCAACUGGGGUGCUAGAGAGUGAGGCUGGGUGGGUGUCUGUGGCUGCAAAGCAUAGGUGUCGAGGACAUUUUCUUCCUUUGAUGACGUUUUUAAGGUGGGAAAGAGAGAAUGAAAGAAAAAUUAAAGGAAGAACAAGGGGAGAAAAGAUUAAAGUAAGAGAGGAAUAGAAAUUGUGCCUUGUAGGCUGCCCUGUUUGUUCUUUGUUUUAUUAAAUUAUAAUAAUGGUAACAAGAGCUAACAUUUAUUGGGAGCUUACUAGGUGCUAACUGUGCUAAGUGCUGUAUAAGCACUCAUACAACUCUAUGAGGGAGGUAUAUUACCUCCACUUUAAAAAUGAGGACAAGAGGCUCAGCGAGAUUAUAUAAUCUGCCUAAGAAUGCACAGGCAGGAAGUGGCAGAGCAAGGAUUUAAAACUAGGUCUGACUUCAAAUCUGUGUUCUUAACCACCACAGUAGAUUAUUUUAGUAUUGUAGUCAUGUACUAGACUAUUUAUUCUAAGUCCCUUGCUUGGGAGGACUGUACCCUUCGUGUAACUGAAAUGCAUAUUUCCCCCAUAACAGAGUGUAUUAUUACCUUAGGCAUUUGGGUGAAAUUUAGUCAUUCAAUUAUGACAGAGCUAGUAAUUGUUAGAGCUGGAUGGGUCUUUAGAGGUCAUCUCUGUAGCAUAUGGGGACAGAAAAGCCCAGUGAGUGGAAAGAACUUACCCAAGUUUAUUCAGCAUUCAUGGCAAAUCUGGAUUCUUCAUUCCUAGCCUAUGCCUUUAGAUGGACUGUUUAGUGAAGACACCAGCUCUAAGUCAAGCAGUUUAUUGUGGUUUAAUGAUGAGAUGCAUGUGCUGAGGAGGUAAUCAGAAGAAGUGAGAAAAGGAGACGGUGUGAAAUUUUGAAGAUUUUAUAUGCCAUGAUGCAGAAAUAAAAGUUCAGCAGGGUCAAGUAAGUUGUCCAAUGUUCAGUAUGAUGGAGUGGGAUUCACAUGCAAGACUAACUACCACUGAACCAUUUACUUCUGACUUUGCUAUUCUGCUUCCACUCACUGAACAUCUCUCUGAGCAAGGCUCAGCACCUGGUAUGAAGGCUGAAACAAGAGCGGUUGCACAGCAAAUGUUUUGCUAUAAUGAGAGAAUACAUGAAUUAAAUGCGAAUUAAACUGCUUCUA
rnacentral:lncRNA from 1 species